CUGUGAUUAACCAAGAUUUGUGUACUUUUCGAAGCUCUCUUCAGAAUUGAAUCUGGGCGGAACAUAAGAAGACGGUGAAAUGGAAGCCUCCAGUGGGCCAAGGCUUUCUGGAAUGCAGAGGCAAGUACUUGGUCUAUACAGAGGGUUCUUGCGGGCAGCUCGUUUAAAAUCUGCUGAAGAUCGAUGCAAGAUUGAGUCACUUGUGAUUCUUGUGAUUCUUUCUCACAGCAUACAGAUCGACACCAUUGACCGCGGCAAACAAAUAGAGAUUCAUAAAGGUAUAUAUAAUCACUUUUGGUUUGUUGUUUAUUUGUAUUCAAACUUACCGAUCUAUAUUGCGUCAGAGAUUGAGUAGCUGAAACUGGAUGCUUGUGUAUGAUUUACUGCAAUAAGAUCCCAGAUUUGCAAACUUUUAAUGAAGAAUGAUGAAGGAAAAAAUUCCCAGAUUUGCAAAAUCUCAAUGAAGAACGCUAAAGGAAAAAUUCCCAGAUUUGCAAGAUCUCAAUGAAGAACGAUGAAGGAAAGAUCUCCAGCUUUGCAAAACUUAAAUGAAGGACCUAAAACAACAUGAAAAUAAAUGGACCUAAAAAUAAAUAUCUAAUAUUUGAAUAAUCUGGAAAUUACAAAAAUUCAAAUCACUACCACAAAAGUGGGCUUUGGAUACCAUUUUAUCCCCACGUUUUGGUUAAUGGUGACAGCACCCAAUUUUGUUCUCACUAAUCCUCCCAAACGUGUGUAUCUUUUGUGAAAAUCCUGCCAAAUGUGGGGUCAAUAUACUGUUGUAAUAUCACCAAUGUUAGAAAGUUUUAGUGCCUCUCUCUUUAAAAUAUUCUUGUUAUCUCUCUCCUCUUUUCCCUUUGCGGUGUAGAACUCUCCCUCUCCCCUAUUUUGUUCCCAUCUCUCAAGUGUUGAAGAGAGCAGCUAUCUCUUCAUCACUAACCAUCCUUUAAGAGUUCGGCUCAUGUCCAUGUCCAUCUCCAUCACCAUCAAAAUGGCGAGAAUUUUAUACCCAUAUGGAAUGAAAUCUCAGACUUGCACAAGAGGUUAUCUCUCUUGAUGGCAGAUCUGAAUUUUGGGUAUAUUGCUGUAGUUUAUUUUUGCAUCUCUCUUGAUUCCAGAUUAUUUCUUUUACUUCAUUUCUAUGGAAUUCAAAUCAUGUUCAGAAUGUUAUGCCUUCAUCAGAGUUGGUUCGAUUACCAGAAUGUUUCCUUCGUUAUACGCCUUUGCCUGAAGCAGGGCUUGUUUUCCUUACUCCCAACUGCCCAUGGCUUUAUUACAUAUGAGCACUAAUAAUCUCAGAAAGGUUUGAAUAGUGUUGUUCAUCACGUAUUAUUGGCUUCUUCCAUGUUGGGGUAUCCAAGAUCUUCUGGUAUCUGACCGCCCAUAUAUUCUGUUCAGAAACAUAUUUCAAUUCUAUGGAAGCAGUACAUGAUAUUUGCAAACUCUAGUAAUAACGGAAGCAGUGAGCAACCUCUUGGUAUUUUACCUCAUCAAAUCCAUGGUUCCCUAGGACACUUUUCACAGGACACUUGUGGGCCACUCCUCAGAUAGUUUUGCACGAUUUGCUGCAGCAUUAAAUAGAGUACAUUGUAAUAUAACAAGAAGAGGAUAAGGGCCUCUGAAGAGUUAUUAUUGUCUGUCGACAUGGCAGCUCGGAGAGUCUCCUCCUUACUCUCUCGCUCUCUCUGCUAGGUCUGCUUCUAAGCUUCUCUCUCAAGGGAGAAGUGUCAGUAGAUUUAGCACUGCUGCAGUAAGUGAAGAGUUGAUCACCCCACCUGUUCAUAUGAAUUGGCAGCCAGAUUAAACAAAAUUACAUACUUUCCAGGUUGGGACGUGCUGCAUAUGAAUGCUAGAAGAUGUGGGCAGUUUAAGCUCAGAAAUCAUUGAUGUUGAACAGCAGCAGAGGAGCAAUGGUGACAGCUUUUUCGACAUUGAAGAGCUCCUGCAGAUUGGGACCAGAUGCAGAGGGGUGUGGUUUCUGCUUUUGAAAGUAAAAGAAAAAAUAUAUUGGUUAUGUUGUGCAUCAAAAUUAUGAAUAUGAACUGCAAUACGAUAGGAAUUAACUGAAUUAUAUCCAACCAAGCAGCUUAAGAAGGUAAUAGUUACACUUCCUUUUUGUUGUGUUAGUCAAUGUAUUGGUUUGUUCAGUAUUAUGGCUUGAGAGAGAUUUUGGACCGUGAGUUCCUGAAACAAAAGGCUACUUAUAUUUUGUACCAUUCCACAGGAUUUCGAUUUCA